rnacentral:tRNA from 1 species
GCCGUCGUAGCACAAUGGUAGUGCGUUGCUUUCCUAAGUCACAUGACUGAAAGAGGCAGAGGUUGUGGGUUCGAUCCCCACCGUCGGUU